UACGUAGGAUCCAAGCGUUAUCCGGAAUUACUGGGCGUAAAGCGUACGUAGGUGGGAAUUUAAGUGAGAUGCGAAAUCUGGCGGCUCAACCGUCUAGACUGUAUCUCAUACUGGGUUUCUUGAGGUUGGCAGAGGCAAGUGGAAUUUCCGGUGUAGCAGUGAAAUGCGUAGAGAUCGGAAGGAACACCAAUGGCGAAGGCA
rnacentral:rRNA from 1 species